CGAAUUUUUAAUAUCUUUCAAGAUGUUUUUAUAAAAAUUAAAAUUCGAAAUUCGUUUGUCAAGAAAACGAAUUCUGUGAAGGUUUUUAACUUUCAGAUAUUUACUUUAACUUUUUACUCUCAAACCUUCCCCACUUUUUCUCUUCUCUCUUGACCUAGUAGUCGCAUCCCCUUUUCUUCUUCCCCGUUUCUUCUUCCUUUGUUAAGUUCUUUUUCUUUUCUUCUUUGUUGUUGUGGCACUCCAUCACCGCAAAUCCCAGAUAUGGUUAGAACGCGAGGUGCAUCAUCUUAUCAAGGAGAGAGUUCUUCUUAAGGGGAAAGGAGGAGACCUACUACAUUAGCUCGAAGAAGACAAGGAGAAGUCGAUAUUCAUGAGGAGGAACAUAAUGUUAUCGAAGAGCAUUAUGUUCAAGAAGGGGAGAAUGAGAAUGUUGGUGAAGAGGAAGUUGAUAGAUUUCCCAGAGGUCCACGCGAUACAUGUUUGCUCAUUCACUAUGCACCACAUGUUGCACAUGCGUUGUGGCUGAUAAGUGUGAAAAAAAGUUGUUUUUAUACUUAUAAAUGAGCUCAAUCUUGUAAUUAUUCAUGUUGUUCCUCAUUGAAAAGUUGUAAUAGGUAGUAGAUUGUUAUGUAAAAUAUUGUACAUGAAAUGAUGUAUUAUUUAGACUCUGUCAGCCAAUUUUCGCAAAGCGAAAACCAAAAUUCGCACUGCCAGAAGAAGGAAAUUCGCAUAGCGCACCAAUACCUGUGCGCUGAGCGAAAAACAUCAGUUAAAGUGCAACAGUUAAGAAAAUUCGCAUAGCGCACCAGUACAUGUGCGCUGAGCGAAUUAAUGAAGUUAAGUGGCUUUAAAAGACGUGACAGAAAGACAAAAACAUUCUUCUGACAGAAGUUCCGAACAAAAGAAAGAAACGAAAACAUCUCAUGAACUUCCGAAGACUACUAGGCAUCAAGACACCAUUGUUGCAAGAGAUUGCUUCAAAUGUGUACGUUUUAGAUGACUAGGAGUAGUUAAAUUUCUCUUUCGUUGGGAUUGGAUGUAAUGAACUCACUGUGAUUUAAUUUUCCCGCUCAAUA
rnacentral:sRNA from 1 species